GACGAACGCUGGCGGCGUGCUUAACACAUGCAAGUCGAACGGAAAGGCCCUGCUUUUGUGGGGUGCUCGAGUGGCGAACGGGUGAGUAACACGUGAGUAACCUGCCCUUGACUUUGGGAUAACUUCAGGAAACUGGGGCUAAUACCGGAUAGGAGCUCCUGCUGCAUGGUGGGGGUUGGAAAGUUUCGGCGGUUGGGGAUGGACUCGCGGCUUAUCAGCUUGUUGGUGGGGUAGUGGCUUACCAAGGCUUUGACGGGUAGCCGGCCUGAGAGGGUGACCGGCCACAUUGGGACUGAGAUACGGCCCAGACUCCUACGGGGGGCAGCAGUGGGGAUUAUUACACAAUGGGCGGAAGCGUGAUGCAGCAACGCCGCGUGCGGGAUGACGGCCUUCGGGUUGUAAACCGCUUUCGCCUGUGACGAAGCGUGAGUGACGGUAAUGGGUAAAGAAGCACCGGCUAACUACGUG
rnacentral:rRNA from 1 species